GGCGGCAUGGCCAAGUGGUAAGGCAUGGGACUGCAAAUCCCCUACCCCCCGUUCGAAUCGGGGUGCCGCCUCCA
rnacentral:tRNA from 1 species